rnacentral:rRNA from 1 species
GUCCAGACUCCUACGGGAGGCAGCAGUGGGGAAUAUUGCACAAUGGGCGCAAGCCUGAUGCAGCCAUGCCGCGUGUGUGAAGAAGGCCUUCGGGUUGUAAAGCACUUUCAGCGGGGAGGAAGGCGGUGAGGUUAAUAACCUCAUCGAUUGACGUUACCCGCAGAAGAAGCACCGGCUAACUCCGUGCCAGCAGCCGCGGUAAUACGGAGGGUGCAAGCGUUAAUCGGAAUUACUGGGCGUAAAGCGCACGCAGGCGGUCUGUCAAGUCGGAUGUGAAAUCCCCGGGCUCAACCUGGGAACUGCAUUCGAAACUGGCAGGCUAGAGUCUUGUAGAGGGGGGUAGAAUUCCAGG